GUGCUCGCUUCGGCAGCACAUACACUAAAAUUGGAAUGAUAGAGAGAAGAUUAUCAUGCCCCCCGCACAAGGAUGGCACACAAAUUCCUGAAACAUUCCAUAUUUUU